CCUACGGGAGGCAGCAGUGGGGAAUAUUGCACAAUGGGGGAAACCCUGAUGCAGCGACGCCGCGUGAGUGAAGAAGUAUUUCGGUACGUAAAGCUCUAUCAGCAGGGAAGAAAAUGACGGUACCUGACUAAGAAGCCCCGGCUAACUACGUGCCAGCAGCCGCGGUAAUACGUCGGGGGCAAGCGUUAUCCGGAUUUACUGGGUGUAAAGGGAGCGUAGACGGCAGCGCAAGUCUGGAGUGAAAUCCCAUGGCUUAACCAUGGAACUGCUUUGGAAACUGUGCAGCUAGAGUGCAGGAGAGGUAAGCGGAAUGCCUAGUGUAGCGGUGAAAUGCGUAGAUAUUAGGAGGAACACCAGUGGCGAAGGCGGCUUACUGGACUGUAACUGACGUUGAGGCUCGAAAGCGUGGGGAGCAAACAGGAUUAGAUACCCCAGUAGUC
rnacentral:rRNA from 1 species